GACGAACCGUGCGAACGUUGUUCGGAAUCACUGGGCUUAAAGGGCGCGUAGGCGGGCUACCAAGUCUGUGGUGAAAUCCUCCAGCUCAACUGGAGAACGGCCGUGGAUACUGGGAGCCUCGAGGGAGAUAGGGGCAGGCGGAACUGAUGGUGGAGCGGUGAAAUGCGUUGAUAUCAUCAGGAACUCCGGUGGCGAAGGCGGCCUGCUGGACCGGCAUUGACGCUGAGGAGCGAAAGCUAGGGGAGCAAACGGG
rnacentral:rRNA from 1 species